rnacentral:rRNA from 1 species
GCUUGUCUCAAAGAUUAAGCCAUGCAUGUCUAAGUGUAAAUACGUCUACACUGUGAAACUGCGAAUGGCUCAUUAAAUCAGUUAUCGUUUAUUUGAUGAUCUCUUGUUACAUGGAUAACCGUGGUAAUUCUAGUGCUAAUACAUGCAACGAUCCCCGACUUUUGAAGGGGAGUAUUUAUUAGAUUAAAAAACCAAUCGUAGCGAUACGUUUUUUGGUGAAUCAUGAUAACUUUUCGAAUCGCACGACAUUGUUGGCGAUGGUUCAAUCAAAUUUCUGCCCUAUCACCUUUCGAUGGUAGUAUAGAGGACUACCAUGGGUAUAACGGGUAACGGAGAAUUAGGGUUCGAUUCCGGAGAGGGAGCCUGAGAAACGGCUACCACAUCCAAGGAAGGCAGCAGG